CUAGCGCAUUGCAUAAAAACAUAGAGAAAACUCGCGAUUGUAAAAGAAGAGAAGAGAACAAAUGCCAGCUCGUUUCGCCUUUUGCCUUUCGGCUCCAUCCUCCCCUCGUGGCCAGUGGCCAGAGCCAGGCUACGGGCACACGCCUCCCUCUACACGUCGGGUUCCCACCAGCCUGUGACCCCACCCGGCAGGCACACACGCGCAUACGCAUCUUUCUCAUCUGCCGCAGGACGGCAGAAGGCACCGCCCCGCACCCGCACCUGCUCAUCAUCUUCGAAGCUUCUCUCCUCCUCUCCACCCCACUCGACGACCAGCUAGUGCCGACCUCCUCCACAGCGCCAAUCCGACGCGGCCGCCGCUAUCCCGAGAUCCCGUGCCCAACGCUCCCUCUUCGAGGCCAAGCCAGGUACGAAGUUGCACUGUCUGUGCAUUGUUUUAUAUAAAAACAUCUCUCUGCCAUAAGAGCUUUGAUCUGCAGUGCAUGGCUCUGAUUUUGCUGUUCUUCUAAAAUUUGCUCAGCAUCAAGAGUGACACACAUUAAAAUGGGAUCUACACGAGCAACGAGUGAAGAUGACAAGGCUCUUGUCUUGUGCCAGGAAAGAAAACGUUAUGUGAAAGAAGCACUUGAUGGGAGAUGUGCAUUUGCAGCUGCUCACUUUGCGUAUAUUCAGUCGCUGAGGCACACAGGAUUUGCUCUGAGAAAAUUUGUAGAACCUGAAGUGCCAACAGACUCUUCAUUAUACACAUCAACAUCUGCAACACCAGAGCCUCCUGGCAUGAGGCAUAGAUCGAUGAACCUCUCCCCAUCUGUAUCACAUCCGGCCAGUGACUCCUUCUCCCCAGCUCCGUCCCCGUUAUCUUCAGGGCGUUUCCAUGUCAAUCAUAUGAAAGCCGGGAGGAACCCAGCGAGGACUGUUGAGGAAAAGGUGCCUGUUCCUGUAACAGCAACUCUGGAGACUUCAUCCUCAGUUCCCAUUCAAACUGUACAUGAUCUGGAUGAUAGUUCUACAUUUGAAGCUCCUCCAGGGACACCACCAUGGGACUACUUUGGCCUUUUUCAACCUGUUGAGAGCCAGUUGUCAUUUCAUGAUGAGAAGGAAUCUGGUCAUGAUUUUGAAAAUGCUGAUGAUAUUAGGCGCCUUCGGGAGAAGGAAGGAAUUCCAGAGCUUGAGGAGGAAUUGGAGAAGUCGCAUGCUCAUGCUGGUGAUGUUAGGCUCUCGCAACAGGAGAAAACUCCAGAUGUCAGAGAUGGGGAGCAAUCUACUAUGAGUGGAAGGGAGGAUGAUUUUGCAGACUCAGAAGAUGAUUUUGAGAACCCGUCUUCUGAACCUUUAGUGCGGAUGUUCAAGAACCGCAAUGAUACACCUGUUGAAAAUAUUGUAACAGAUCAGUCACCUGCACAUCUUGCUGCAGAUAAGGUUGUCUCAAAAAAUUUGGUAGAUAAGGUUGCCUUGGAAAAUAUUGCAGAUAAGGUUGCCUUGGAAAAUAUUCAUUCCAAAACGGAGGAGCCGAAAAGUGACAACAAGGUACUUGAGCCAAAAAGUGACAAUAGGGUACUUGACAUUAGCAUGUAUGAAACUGAUGAAACCCCUGUGACGAGCCCUGUGAAAGAAGUGGCAUCUUCGGUUGCCGCUCAUCCUAUAAACGGGAAAUCGAAGGAACCUUUUCGUGAUGUUAGAAAUGGGGUAAAGGACCUGUCUACAUCCAUGAAAGAGGUUGAAAUCUUAUUUAUCAAGGCAUCUGAUUCUGGCAAAGAAGUCCCGAGGAUGCUUGAAGCGGAUAAAGUCAAUUUCCACCCUUUGCUAACCGAAGAAAGAGCACGUGGAUUAAAGGCACCAGGCUUUUUUGCAACACUCUUUGCUUGCUGCAGGGAGCAAGUCCCUGUUCCUCAGCCUCCACCACAAGCCGACAUGAAGCAUCUUACCUGGCAUAGAUCAGUGUCUUCGCACUCUUCGUCAUCAAGAAAUCCUCUUGGGGCAGCAUCGAAAGUUGAUGUCGAUGGUCUCACUGGAAAUAUCUUUAGUGGUGUAUACAUGAAUUCUGGCAGUCACGCUUCCACACUGGAUAGAUUGUAUGCAUGGGAGAGAAAGCUCUGUGAUGAAGUUAAGGCUAGCAGUACAAUUUGCAGGCAGUAUGAUGAGAAAUGUAGGUACCUGAGAAACCAGGAAUCAAGAGGAGAAAGCCAAAUGAGUGUUGACAGAACCCGUGCUGUUGUGAAGGAUUUGUACUCCAGAAUUUGUGUGGCCAUUCAGAGAAUUGACAUGAUUUCCAAGAACAUAGAGGAUCUGAGGGACAAAGAGCUUCAACCGCAGCUUGAAGAAUUAAUUGGAAGCUUAACUCGCAUGUGGGAAACAAUGCUCGAGUGUCACCGGCAUCAACACGAGAUUAUUAAGCUAGUAUCCAACAGUGGCGGUAUAAAGGUCUUAAUCCGGUCGGAAUCACAGUUCCAAGCAACUCUACUCCUUCAGGUUGAACUAAAGUCACUAUUUUCAAACUUCCAGAGAUGGAUAGUAUCCCAUAGAUCUUACUUGAAUAGCCUACAGUCAUGGUUACUGAAGUGUGUGAAAUCACUAAGGACGAAGAAAAAAUCUAGAAAGAAGAAGGAUACCAAUUUUCAAAUAACAAAUUUUGCUGUUGCACCCAUAUUUACAAUCUGUGAGCAGUGGAUUCAGUUACUGGACGAGUUGCCAAUCGAAGACUUGGAAGGUGGCAUUAAAGGUCUCCUUGCAGAUAUAAACCAUUGUAUGCCUCGUCAAGAGAAGAGGCGUGGUGGUUCAAGGUCUACAUUCGCAAUACCUAAUGGAGGGUUGAAUGAUGAAAUGAGGGGAAUCCAUAGAAAUGACGCUCAUACGGAUUUACAGUCGAGCCUGGAGAGCUUCCUAGGGAAGCUUGAAUUCUUCUCAGAUGUUUCAGUGCACAAAUAUGGUGAACUCAAGAAAAAAGUUAAUACGGCAAAGGAGAAAUAUGAGCAACAGAAUAAGUAACUUAAGGAGGAGGCAAAUCGGUUGCACUAAUUUCUGGAGUGAAACAUAAUAUAGCUCAAAAGUCAUCAGAGAUGGAUAAAUAAACCGUCCAUUGUGUACAUUCGUUCAUCGAACUAAUAGGCACAAAUCACUGCCAUCAUAUUUUGUGAGUUCA
rnacentral:rRNA from 1 species